CCAGAAGAUUGACCCGACAUUUCUGAUGCAACAGAUAUCAUAAGAUCCCUUGAGAUACGUGGUUGCCAACUAGUUGACUGCUUGAAAAAUAACCUUGAUUCAGUGUAGUUGCAUCGACAAGACACCAUAAUUGCAUACUGAUCAGUAUUUGAAACACUCCUCCUUCCUUCAAUGUUAUUUGAUGCAAGACGAGAACUUGAUGACAGGGAAAUUCUUUCACCAUGAACUUUAAGAUUCUUCUGCAUAGUACAUGCUGGUUUAAGAAUAAAAGAGUGCU
rnacentral:misc_RNA from 1 species